rnacentral:rRNA from 1 species
GACGAACGCUGGCGGCGUGCCUAAUACAUGCAAGUUGAGCGCUGAAGGUUGGUACUUGUACCAACUGGAUGAGCAGCGAACGGGUGAGUAACGCGUGGGGAAUCUGCCUUUGAGCGGGGGACAACAUUUGGAAACGAAUGCUAAUACCGCAUAAAAACUUUAAACACAAGUUUUAAGUUUGAAAGAUGCAAUUGCAUCACUCAAAGAUGAUCCCGCGUUGUAUUAGCUAGUUGGUGAGGUAAAGGCUCACCAAGGCGAUGAUACAUAGCCGACCUGAGAGGGUGGUCGGCCACAUUGGGACUGAGACACGGCCCCAACUCCUUCGGGAGGCAGCCGUAGGGAAUCUUCGGCAAUGGACGAAAGUCUGACCGCGCAACGCCGCGUGAGUGAAGAAGGUUUUCGGAUCGUAAAACUCUGUUGGUAGAGAAGAACGUUGGUGAGAGUGGAAAGCUCAUCAAGUGACGGUAACUACCCAGAAAGGGACGGCUAACUACGUG